CCUACGGGGAGCAGCAGUGAGGAAUCUUGGUCAAUGGUCGGGAGACUGAACCAGCCAAGCCGCGUGAGGGAUGAAGGUACAGAGUAUCGUAAACCUCUUUUGUCAGGGAACAAAGGCGGGGACGUGUCCCCGGAUGAGUGUACCUGGAGAAAAAGCAUCGGCUAACUCCGUGCCAGCAGCCGCGGUAAUACGGAGGAUGCGAGUGUUAUCCGGAUUUCGUGGGGUUAAGGGGUGCGCAGGCGGUCUGUUAAGUCAGCGGGCAAACCCCGGGGCUCAACCCCGGCCCGCGGUUGAAACUGGCAGUCUCGAGUUGGAGAGAAGUAUGCGGAAUGCGCGGUGUAGCGGUGAAAUGCAUAGAUAUCGCGCAGAACUCUGAUUGCGAAGGCAGCAUGCCGGCUCCACACUGACGCUGAGGCACGAAAGCGUGGGUAUCGAACAGGAUUAGAUACCCCUGUAGUC
rnacentral:rRNA from 1 species